rnacentral:rRNA from 1 species
GACGAACGCUGGCGGCGUGCUUAACACAUGCAAGUCGAACGGAAAGGCCCUGCUUUUGUGGGGUGCUCGAGUGGCGAACGGGUGAGUAACACGUGAGUAACCUGCCCUUGACUUUGGGAUAACUUCAGGAAACUGGGGCUAAUACCGGAUAGGAGCUCCUGCUGCAUGGUGGGGGUUGGAAAGUUUCGGCGGUUGGGGAUGGACUCGCGGCUUAUCAGCUUGUUGGUGGGGUAGUGGCUUACCAAGGCUUUGACGGGUAGCCGGCCUGAGAGGGUGACCGGCCACGUUAGGACUGGGAUACGGCCCAGACUCCUACGGGAGGCAGCAGUGGGGAAUAGUGCACAAUGGGCGGAAGCCAGAUGCAGCAACGCCGCGUGCGGGAUGACGGCCUUCGGGUUGUAAACCGCUUUCGCCUGUGACGAGGCGUGAGUGACGGUAAUGGGUAAAGAAGCACCGGCUAACUACGUG